AACACAUUUCUCUCAAGUUCUCUGCUACCUUUACCUUCAAGCAUAGGCUGUACCCACCAGUGACCACCGUACUCAAUCAAGGGAGCUUUCGGCCUCCAGCCUUUCACGUGAGGCAACGUGGAUAUCACGUCUUGGUACAUUUUCCGAUUCUUCUCGAACUCUGUUGCCUCUUUCUCGGUCUCGUCAUGAUCAUGGUUUGGCACGGUAGUGUCGGAUACGGUCUCUGUUGCCAUUGGAGAUGGAGGAAAAAGAUUGGAGGACUUGUGUUUCUGAUCUGUGAUAGAUGGUCGUUUGGACAAGAUCAAUCAUAGCAGGCUUUUUUUAUUAGCAGCACCGAUAGAGACAUUCACGUCUGUUAUUUUUAAUUGUUCCUUUUUUAGAAGUUAUAUUAAUCGUAAUUACUAUAUUUCAUUUUGGUAUACCUGCUUUCACUAAACAUUAGUAUAAAAAUAUACGGGACCACUAGCCACAUGCUUCGUGUGCUUGUACCGAGGACCGGAUCUGUAUCUGAUUACAUUUAGUACAGUGUUUUUAAAACCAGACCGGCGAACGAACCGGAAAUAUUUUGGGUUACGGGUCAAUGUGGUUCGAUCUGGUUCGAUUGUAUUCGACCGGGUUUAAUGGACUAAACUGAAUUUAAUAAUGU